AAGUCGUAACAAGGUUUCCGUAGGUGAGUAAACCAAUCCCCCACCCAUGGCUUUUUUAUUUUUCUUGGUGACAUAUGCUAAUUCGUAAUUAUAGGUGAACCUGCGGAAGGAUCAUUAUCGAGUUAGGGUCUUCCAGGCCCGACCUCCAACCCUGUGUUUAUUAUACCAUGUUGCUUCGGCGGGCCCGUCUCACGACCGCCGGGGGGUGAAAUCACCCUCUGGUCCGCGCCCGUCGAUGGCCCCCCCAAUUAAACCUUGUAUAACUGUGUUGACUGAGUACCAAAACAAAAUAAGAACAAAACUUUCAACAACGGAUCUCUUGGUUCUG
rnacentral:misc_RNA from 1 species